ACUUUUGGGAGUAACUAUAACUUAUCAUAGAUAUUAUAGACUACGUAACCGGGAUUGGAAACUGAUGACGUCACACGGAUAAUUAUUGUAAUGUGCGCUUUAAUUAGAACAAAGCAACUUUUGCCACCAAAGAUCUUAUUUUCUUGCAGGCUGCAAUGGAAUGCUGCUUCUAUAUGGACUCUUUUUACUUAAUGCAGUGGAAUUAUAGUGGUUUUUUCCACACAAUUUCUUGUAAAAAUGUUGCAAAAGCAAAGCCUCUUAAUGUGACGAACUCUCUGAUUAUUGUUUCAUACAUUUCAUCAACGAGAACACUUCUUCACUUCUAGAAAUUGAUGCAAUCAUAGUAAUCUCAGUUCUCCUUGGAGUUUGGAAGACCUCCGCUCAGCGCUCACAACUCUUCUGAAGUUGAAGAUCUCUCUUAAGCACAACUCAACUUGAUAAAAGAAGUGAUAGGUGUUGUCAUUAACGUGAUAUAAAUAGCGAUGUCUGACAAAUCAAAAUUAUUAACACUCAUAGUGGUAGGAGGAGUAGCUAAAGAUUCAUCGUCA